rnacentral:rRNA from 1 species
GCGGGCCCUCGCGGCCCAACCUCCCACCCUUGUCUAUAAAUAAGCGGGGGAACCUGUUGCUUUGGCGGUCCCGCCGCGGGCCACCUGGUCGCCGGGGGACGUCCGUCCCCGGGCCCGCGCCCGCCGAAGCGCUCCGUGAACCCUGAUGAAGAUGGGCUGUCUGAGUACUAUGAAAAUUGUCAAAACUUUCAACAAUGGAUCUCUUGGUUCCGGCAUCGAUGAAGAACGCAGCGAAAUGCGAUAAGUAAUGUGAAUUGCAGAAUUCCGUGAAUCAUCGAAUCUUUGAACGCACAUUGCGCCCCCUGGCAUUCCGGGGGGCAUGCCUGUCCGAGCGUCAUUUCUGCCCUCAAGCACGGCUUGUGUGUUGGGUGUGGUCCCCCCGGGGACCUGCCCGAAAGGCAGCGGCGACGUCCGUCUGGUCCUCGAGCGUAUGGGGCUCUGUCGCUCGCUCGGGACGGACCAAUAAGGGGAGGUUCCUAGGUCAACCUGCGGAGCAUAUCACCACGGUUGAUCCUCGGAUCAGGUAGGAGUUACCCGCUGAACUUAAGCAUAUCAAUAAGCGGAGGAUUC